rnacentral:rRNA from 1 species
AUUGAACGCUGGCGGCAUGCCUUACACAUGCAAGUCGAACGGUAACGCGGGGCAACCUGGCGACGAGUGGCGAACGGGUGAGUAAUAUAUCGGAACGUGCCCAGUAGUGGGGGAUAGCCCGGCGAAAGCCGGAUUAAUACCGCAUACGACCUACGGGUGAAAGGCGGGGGAUCGCAAGACCUCGCGCUAUUGGAGCGGCCGAUAUCAGAUUAGGUAGUUGGUGGGGUAAAGGCCUACAAGCCUACGAUCUGUAGCUGGUCUGAGAGGACGACCAGCCACACUGGGACUGAGACACGGCCCAGACUCCUACGGGAGGCAGCAGUGGGAAUUUUGGACAAUGGGCGC